UCUGUAGGUGGCCAACUAAGUCAGACGUGAAAUCCCUCAGCUUAACUGGGGAACUGCGUCUGAUACUGGAUGGCUUGAGUGCAGGAGAGGAAUGCGGAAUUCCAGGUGUAGCGGUGAAAUGCGUAGAUAUCUGGAGGAACACCGGUGGCGAAGGCGGCAUUCUGGACUGUAACUGACACUGAGAGACGAAAGCCAGGGGAGCAAACG
rnacentral:rRNA from 1 species